AAAAACAUUUCCUAUAGAUUUUAUUAUAGGUAAAACCUGCUCAAUGAUAUAUUGAAUAGCCGCAAUUUAUUUGUGCUAAGGUAGCAUAAUCAUUUGUUUUUUAAUUUAAAACUAGAAUGAAAGGUUUAACAUUUUAAUUUCUAUUAAAAUCAUAUCUAAUAAAAUUAUAUUAAAUAUAAAAAUAUAUUUAUAAAAAAAUUAGACGACAAGACCCUAUUAAACUUAACUUUUGUUUAGCUGGGGCAGCUUUAUAAUUAAUAUUUUAUUUUAUACUAAACAAAAAUCCAAAAUUUUUUGAAAUAUAAUCAAGUUACUAUAGGGAUAACAGCGUAAUUUUUAUAAAAAGUUCUCAUUUAAAUAAAAGUUUGCGACCUCGAUGUUGAAUUAAAUUUCUUUAUUUCGCAAUAGAAAUAAAAGAAGGUCUGUUCGACCUAUAAAUAUUUACAUGAUCUGA
rnacentral:rRNA from 1 species